rnacentral:lncRNA from 1 species
CGGAAACAGAGUAAGAAUCGCCUGCAGUCCAAAUCGGCUAAGGUCAGGUCGGCAGAGUUCGAGUCGGACGGGGCUAGCCGAUACAGCCGAUUCCGAUAAUAUGACUCGGCGUAUGUCGUCGGGUUCAAGUUGAUGUGCUUCAAAGAUGAUUGCCACGCAUGGAUAGAGUCCUGGAAAGGCAAUUGUAUCUAUUAAUUAGGAUAUUUUGUGUAAUUUCCUUAGAGAUAUGUGUAGCGCCCGUUCCGUCGUGGCGCCUAGCGGGAAAAUUAUCUCUUAAAAACCCUAAUUGCGAAAUUUGUUUCUUUGCUUGCUGUCUAGUGUCCGUGCCAUCUCAGAUCUCAAUCCCCGAUCUAUCGUCGAGUCCAAUUCCGAAUCCAAAUCCUUCCAAAUCAAAUCCCUCCGCAGAAGUCUAUUUUGCCUCCCCCGGGGUCGAUGGGCCGAUUUUCUCUCGGCCCAUCUCCCCCUCUCCCCCGGCCCAUCUUCCCCCUCCCUCCCCGGCGCGCUCCUCUCUUCCUCUCCCUCCGCUCCGCUCCGCCUGCCCGCGCGCGUGUGCGAGCGCCGCCCGAGCCCCCUCCUCCGCUCUGCCCGCGCGUGCGUGACGCGCCCACGCCGAGCCGAGCCCUCUUUUCCGCCCCUUCGCUGCCGCUCCCCGCGCGCCGUUGUUCGCGCGCGCGCCCGCGUGGUCCUCGCCCGCGUCGCGCCUGCAGCCGCCCAGGCCCCGCUGCCCUGCCGCGCCUGCAGCCGCGCAGCCGCUUGGCCCCGCGCGCCAGCGCGCGUGCCCGAGCCGCGCCAACUCCAUCCGCCGCGCCUCCCGUUGCAAGCCGCGCGCGCGUGCCGUGGUGGCCGACCGCCCGGUCGCCGCCGCCGUCAGCCUCUGCACGCGCCUGUCGCCAGUGUCGCCGCUCCGCUCCAAACCGCCCCGCCAUCAUCGCCGUCGUCACCGCCCAGCCCCCGCCACUCCGCAUGCAAGCCGCCAAGGGACGGAGGCAGCGCCCCUCCUCCCUCUGCGCGCUCGCUCCCGCUCUCCUCUCCUUUUUCCCGAAUCGGCAAAGGGGCAAGCCCCCUUUCUCCCCCUCCUUUUCCCCUUUUCCUCCUCGCCGGCGUCAUCCUCCCUGUCGCCGCUUUGGCCACGACCGCCGAGCGCCAGCUCGCGCCCUUGACCGCGCAAGUCGGUUCCCAAACCGACAUUGCCGCCCCUUUAAACCCCCAGCCUCCCCUUUCCCUUCCUCUUCCAUUCGUCUCCGCUCCAUUGCCGCCGCCCCCGUGCUCUGUCUCGCCUCCGCCGUCCUUCGCCGAGCGCCGGGAGAGCCGGUGCGUUCGAGGACGCGGAAGGGGACUCCGGGCGUGCCCUCGCUUCUUCCUCUUCCUCGGCCCGAGGCCGGAGAGAUUACUCCCGCGCCGUCGGCCUCUCGUCACAGCGCCCCUCCUCUUCUCGGUGAUGCCUCUCUCCGUUCUUCCUCCUCGCUCCAUCUCCCCCCUAGCUUUCGGUAGUAGCUUGAGUAGCCUCCCCGUAGUUAGCCGGCGCCGCCCCGACCGUUGCCGUCGCUCGCCGUGUGCUCGCCGCCGUCGCCGCCCGAGCUCCGUAGCCCCCGCUCGUCGCCAGCCUCGCUCGGCGUAGUUCCGCCCAAUCCGACGCUAGCGUCGAGUUCCCGAAGCCGCGUGGAUGCUCUCACCGCCGGGAAUCGACCCCUCGUGGCCUCGUCGCCGUUUCCCUCUUCUCCCGCCGCCGGUUGCCGCCGCCGCAAUCCGCCGCCGUCGAGCAACCUCCGGCGAAUCCGAGCCGUUGGCUCGUCUCCCCUUGUCACGUACAACCACCCGGUGUGCUCGCUUUUGCCCGUAUCGCCGUGGUUCACUCCGCCGCUCGCCGUCGCCGCCCGCCGUCCAAUCGCGGCCGGGUCGUCGUCUACCUCCCGCCGGCCCGCGAGGCAGCCACGUAGGCGCCACGUCGGCGCCAGCUCAGCCUAGACCGGGUCGAGCCGACCCCGGUCAGCCCCUCCCCUUGCGCGCGUUCCACCGCGAGCCGAGAGGCUGCGCGUGGGCCCGCCGCACCCGCGUCCACCGCAAACCGCGCGCGUGCACCGCGUCCAUCCCGCGCCCGCGCGCGUGCGCAGCAUGCUCCCUCCGCACGGUGAGCCGAGCCGCUGACAAGCGGGUCCCACCCGGGACCGCGCGUGGUGAGCCCUGUCCACCGGCCCUCACUCUCUCCUCCCCCCCCCCGCGCGCGCUCUGGGCCGCCUUUUGGGCCGGCCGGCCCAUUAAGCUCAGCCGAGCCGCCCCAAAUCUCUUGGGCCGCACCCUAGCCGCCCGAGAAAAGUCUAUAUUCCCUCCCCCUUUUUUUUUCUUUUCUUUUUCUUUUCCAAAAAGGAUUUAAUUAAAUCCUUUUCCUUUAGACCAAAAAUCCAAUAAUCUUAGAAAUACAAUAUCUUCCCAACCGUAAGUCCGUUUGACUCCGUUCAACUCCCAAAAUUCCUCAAAUCUCGAGAUCUAUUUAAUGGCAUGCUUAGAGGUCAUUAAUAGGGCUUUAUUUUCGCCGUUUGUUGAGUUGUCCCGUUUCGCGUGUAGUUUCGGAGCCCGAAGACCCGCAGUGCGAGGAUUUCGAGGAUCAAGCUCCAGAUCUCGAGCAAGGCAAGCCACCUUUGAACAUCUUGAGCCUAUAUUUGAAAUCUAAUUAUAUUGCUUGAAAAAUAUUAUGCAUUGAUAGGAUCGCAUUUAAUCUGUUGUCCCGUCUGCAAGGCAGAUUGGCGGACUUACCUAACUUGUUGCAUUUGAUCCUUCCAUUGUUAAUUGCUACACCAUGUCCCCUUGUAACUACCCAGUUGCACCUCGAUAUUCGUGCACUCUGUGCGAGUAUCGACGGUCGCCUUCAAACUUAAAAUCUGAGUAACAACUUGGGUAAAACUUGGGUUUUACAAAAGAUUGGAAAACCCGACACCUGGGUCGGUGCUUGCGAACUAAAUGAAUUUCCAAAACCGCGGACCGGGGAACGUACCGGGUGUACGGUUUCCCGCUCUUGCACUUAAGGACCGUUUCCUUGGAAUUUCAUCCGAACAUAAGACAAGUACGACCACAUGGGUAGAAUGGGACACCCCUGGCUGAGUAACUAGCUUAUCAGGGGAGCCUUGAUGCCGAGAGACAUGUGGAUUCGCCGGGGUGGUGUCAGGGAGGACCCCUGGGCUUCCUGGCACAGUAUGGUCUGGGACCUAACCUGUUGUUGGUCUGGGACCCCUCUCGUCGGCAUAUGGUAAACCUGUGUCGGCUUUGGAAAUGCCUUGUCAUGAAAGCUUGGAGGUCUCCCGACGUGGCUGAUCCCCACGGGCUGGGUGAUCCGGGUUAGUAAUGUCGUGUGGGUAAAGUGUACCCCCUCUGCAGAGGUUAACAAACUGUUCGAAUAGUCGUGCCCACGGUCAUGGGCGGAUGUGAGGUGAUUCCUAGCGUAGUUUUGUUUGACUACUGCUUGUGAAAUUGCUGUUGAGAAAAGGGGUUCGAUGUUUGAAAAAUCUGUAGCUGAUGAGAUCAGCUAGGCCCGGGUGGCCGUUUGAAAAGUUGUUGGCCCAGGUGGCCGUUUGAAAAAGCUGUUGGCCGGGUGCCAACCUUGUUUCAAUUCUAAAGACUGAUACAUUGCACAUACUCCGACCGGACGAGACGCACUGUCUCAUCCGUGUCGUUUGAGAAGCACUCACUUAGUUGUUUUCAGAAAAUGGUUCAAAUAAAAUCAAUUGCUAAAACAACAGCCUUCCCUUGAAGCCUGCAAUAAACACCUUAUUUCCCCUGGCUUGCUGAGUACUCCCGUACUCACCCUUGCUCUAUAUAAAUAACCCCCCCCCAGUUGCUGAAGAAGAUGAAGCGGAUCCGGCUGAUGAAGAGUUCUUCCAAGAGCAACCCGGCUUCGAUGAGUUUUAGGGUUUCGGCCUAGUUCCCAAGUCGCGCCUGUGAUGAUUGGUCCAAGUCCUGACUUCCGCUUUCCUUUUGUAAUGCAGUUGUGAGCUCGGGAUCUGUCCGCAGCCCAACAUGACUGUACUUCUACUCUAUAAUAAAGAGACCUCUGUUGUUGUGAUAUUCUGUCUCCCUGUGAUACCAGCACUGUUUCCUGGGACUGGUAUCGAUUAACAGGUUAAUUUGGAGCGUCACGGGCUAGUUCCGGUCGGUACUAGUUUGGGGCGUGACAAUAUGUUUGGGCAAAAGUCUGCCGUAAAGACUUAUGGUAUCUUAGAGUUUGUUAGAGAUAAUAGUCGUGUCCGUUAUGGACGUAUCUUGUAAUUCUCAGAUAUAAGUAGACCCGAGCCCUAUGUAAAAAAAGGACUCAUCCAAUACAAUCUCAGCGCAUCGCCACCCUUUUUAUUCUAUAUGCUUGAUCUAUGUGUUAAAUCUGCCCUUUAUGUUAGGAUCUUGUCGCAUCUAGAUAUAUUAGACUUCUGUUUGGUAUAUUCUACUUGCUUUAACAUCUUAAUAUAGAGUGGUAUCGGAGUAUUAGCCGAUGCAUGCUAGAUACAUUUGAUCGGCUAUGAUAUAAAUGUAUCUAAUCCCACUAUUAAUAUAUAUUUCGAUCUAAAUGAUUUAUACUGUCUCGGCAAGGCGACCGAUCUAUCCCAAUCACUUGAUUUAAAUAUAUAUCGAUAUAAGGAUUAUAUAUCAUUAAUAUCUACAGCCGAUCGAGUAGAUUUAGUUAUGAUUUGCUUAUUGAUAUUUGCCGAUCGAUGUACGUAUGACAUCGGCUUGAAAUAAAUGAUAUGUCAUCGGCACCUAGCCGAUCGGCUAUCAUUUAUAGGAUUAAUUGCGGUUUUUUUGUUCUAUUUCUUAUUGAUUGCAGGAUCAAAUCAACUGGCACGCUCAUACACCUGAAGGCGAGUUUUGGACCUGCACUGGAGUUGAGCAGAUCUCCCAGGCCUCGU